AAGAAGUUAGUUAAAAUAUAACAUUAAUAUGUCAUAUUAAAAUUAUUAACAAUUUAAUACCUCUUU
rnacentral:tRNA from 1 species